rnacentral:ncRNA from 1 species
UGCUUUAAAAGGCAAAGUUGUCGAGAGACAAUGACGCAAAACCUCCGGUCCAAACUCACCCGGGAUAAAACCUGAUGUGAACGGAUAGCGGGGCUGCAGGC